rnacentral:rRNA from 1 species
UACGUAGGGGUGCGAGGCGUUGUCCGGAAUUAUUUGGGCGUAAAGAGCUUGUAGGUGGUUUGUCGCGUCUGCUGUGAAAAUCCGAGGCUCAACCUCGGCUUGCAGUGGGUACGGGCAGACUAGAGUGUGGUAGGGGAGACUGGAAUCCUGGUGUAGCGGUGGAUGACGCAGAUAUCAGGAGGAACACCGGUGGCGAAGGCGGGU